GGGAGGUGGGAGAGAUGGGAGGUGGGAGAGAUGGGGAGAAGGGAGAGAUGGGGGGAAGGGAGAGAUGGGAGAGAUGGGGAGAUGAUGGUGGAUUUGGGGAGGCAUUUGCCCCGCGGAGCUGGAAGUGUACUGAGUAUGGAUGGCAAGUGAGUGGCGACCAGCAGGCGUUAGGACUCGGUGUUUCCUAGUUCUCUUAUCUGCCGAUGAUGUCCACAUGAAAUCCCUGACUGCUCAUUUUGGUGAGGUGGGAGAGAAGCAGAGGAAGCCCCAACCCCGCGCUGCCAUCCCGAUCUCGGGUGCCUUAGGGAGCUGCAGGCCUGCGUACGAGGGGCAGGAGGCUUCCCCGUGCACAUGUUCAGGAGCUGAGCGUCCUGGCCGUGUGGUUCGGCACAACUUGAACUUUUCAUGAGGUUGUCUGUGGGUACAUUUUCUAAUCCACACGUGGAGCACGAGGAAAGGAACUGGAAAGAGGAGCUUCAGCGGCCCAUGUCUGCACAGGCCAAUUCCUGGGCUGGGGAUGUAGGCCCGGCAGCCAUGUUAGCACUGCCACAGAAGAGCAGAGAGGCCGGGAGGUGUCAGCAAGAAGAUGGACUGCAUCAGGCCUGUCAGUGUCGGACAGCAGGGCCGUGCCCUUGCUCUUGGCCUUCCCAGCCCCGCAGGGAGUGGAGGCGUGAAUGUCGGUGUGAGCCCGGAAAGUCGCCGCCAGCAGCCCCGGAGCAGCCUUGGCCCUGGCCAAGAGGCGUGUGGGGAGUGGAGGGGGAGCGAGGGCUUAAAUUGAGCAAACGGAGUGAAAUUACCCGUGGUGAGGACAAUUUGUCAAGGGGCCUUUAGUGUCGUGACAGCCACCGACGUGCGAGCUGCACGCGGUCGAUCGGUGUAAAUUAGGCCCCGCCGGUCGAAAGCAUUAAUGAGGUAGCAGGGGCUAGGGAGGUGCUGCUGCUCUGUCGGGCUUUGGGGAGAAGAACGGAGGAAAAGCUUUGCUGGGGUUUUUUUUUUUGAAUACCAGAAGAGCCUCCCCGCAUCCCGCUCCGCAUCCCUUGGGGCCUGUUCUCUGAACGCAGCAAAAGAAGAAAAAUAAAAAGAAAAAUAAAAAGAAAAACAGAAAAGCCCGGAGGAGCUUUGGCCCGUGGCUUUGUCCUCCAUCACUGGGAUUUCUCCCGUGGAAUAGCUUUCCUGUGAAAUCUGUCUUUUUUAAUGUCUGUCGUCUGUCUCCGCCAUUAGGGUCCGUUCAUCCAGCCACUCACCGCUUGGUAACUCGGUACGUCAGUCGCUCUGUUGGUGUGUGAGAAUCUAGAUGUUGACCAAAAAAGUAUUUUUUUCCCCCGGAAUUACGUGCUGCCACUGGCAUCCCUGCAGUCCCUCGGUGGGAAGCCCAUGGUAUUUGGAAGGGAAGAUGCCACCGGCGAGGCAGUGUGGAGGGGUGGGGGCAGCAGUGCAUUUUGGGGACAGAACACCCUCCUUUGGCCAAAUCCGUGUCAGGCCAAACCUGGGGCUGGUGUAAGGACGUGGUGAUGCCCGGAGCCACCGGCUCUGCUCCCCACAGAGCUCCCAGCACCCGGUCCCCCCCUUCCCAGCCAAAUCAUUGCCAAACUGGAGGCUUUGGCUGCCCACAAAGCGGCCUGCUUGGUUUCCCCGUGAGGGAUUUGACCCCCUCCUGUAUGGAGAAGUCUCCUUUGUACGGAGGUGAAAUGAGAAUGGGGGAAAAAAGGCAAAGUAAGCGAUUUGCCUGGUUCCCCUCUUCCCCCGAAGGAGAUUAAUUAGUAUCUAUUCUUGGCAUGAUUGAUGGCUUUGAAGGAAAACUUGUCAGAAUAACUUAUGAUUUAUUUUCCUGCUUAUUUUUAUAACAUCCCUCACUUGGAAGUCUCUCAAAAUCUGAAAUACGAUUUUUAUUUCCCCGCUGGGUAUUUUAUGGCUUUACACAAAUUUUGCUCUUCUUGGUGUUAGCUGUUAGCCAGUCCCGGUGAUACUUGCAGUAUUUUUCAGGAGAAACUACUCUAAGGGUUGCAAAGUCCUGUUGAUGGCCAACGGGGCUAUGGUGUCCUGCAGAACGUGGAUUUAAUGCUAGCAAUUCAUUUUUUAAUGUAUUUAUUUGCAUUUGAGAAAGCAACGUUUUUAAUUUAAUCAUGUUUGUUAAACUAAGUGCUUAAAAAAAAAAAAAGGAGAAAGGUUUUGGGGAGAAUAAAGACUAGAUCUUCAUACUAGAGAAAACAAAAACUCAUCGUUUUCAGCAUUUCAGAGACUGUUAAAACAAGGGAGCUAAUAACUCUUUGUGGCAAUUCAGUCUUGUUUAUAGAACAUCCAAACCCACUGUAUGCUAUAAAACGCAUCAUCUGAGUAAUAAAUGUUUAAAGC